rnacentral:tRNA from 1 species
GGGCGUAUAGCUCAGCCGGUUGAGUGCCCCUGAUAGGGGUGAGGUCCCAGGUUCAAGUCCUGGUACGCCCA